UACCAGCUCUCCGAGUGGUAGGGAUGUUUAUUGGGCUUAAAGCGUCCGUAGCCGGCUUAGCAAGUCUCCUGUUAAAUUCAGCGACCUAAUCGUUGAGCCGCGGGAGAUACUAUUAGGCUAGGAGGCGGGAGAGGUCAACGGUACUUCCGGGGUAGGGGUGAAAUCCUAUAAUCCCGGGAGGACCACCAGUGGCGAAGGCUGUCGACUAGAACGCGCUCGACGGUGAGGGACGAAAGCUGGGGGAGCGAACCGGAUUAGAUACCCGGGUAGUCCCAGCUGUAAACGAUGCGAGCUAGGUGUUGGGGUGGCUACGUGCCACUUCAGUGCCGCAGGGAAGCCAUUAAGCUCGCCGCCUGGGGAGUACGGCCGCAAGGCUGAAACUUAAAGGAAUUGGCGGGGGAGCACCACAAGGCGUGAAGCUUGCGGUUC
rnacentral:rRNA from 1 species